AUUAAUAAGGUCUUUUAAAAAAAAUUAUGCUGUUAUCCCUAAGGUAAUUAAUUUUUAAAGUUUAAAUUUUAAGAUAUUUAAUUCAAUAAUUAUUGUUAAUUAUAUAAAAAAUUUUUUAAAUUUUUAAAUUACCCCAAUUAAAUUUAGGAUUUUAAUAUAAAUAUAUAAAUUAAUUUUUAUAAUAAAAAUUAAAUAAAAUUCUAUAGGGUCUUGUCGUCUUUUAAAAGUAUUUAAGUUUUUUUACUUAAAUAAAAAUUUAAAUUUUUAUUUAAUUGAAACAGUUUAUAUUUUAUUAAAUCAUUCAUUCUAGUUUUUAAUUAAAAAACAAAUUAUUAUGCUACCUUUGUACAGUUAUGGAUUCUGCAGCCAU
rnacentral:rRNA from 1 species